UCCCUGGCGGUCCAGUGGUUAGGACUUGGCGCUUUCACUGCCAUGACCUGAGUUCCACCCCUGGUCGGGGAA
rnacentral:tRNA from 1 species